CAUGGCGCCCGGGCUGGGGCCGUGGCUGCUGGCCUUGUCCUUGGCCGCGGGGCCGGCAGGGGUGUGGGCGCAGCUGAGGCUGGAGGCGGCCGGCGGAGGGCUGCGAGCGCCCGGGGACUCCGUGCUCCUCUCCUGCCGCGGAUCCGGCUUCACCUUCGGGAGUUAUGAACUUCUGUGGUACCGUCAGGCACCUGGUGGCAAACUCGAGUGCCUUUCCUUCACCAGAAGCCAUUCGAAUACCACGGAUUACGCGGCAGCGGUGGAAGGUCGAGCCACAGCCUCCCGGGACAAUUCCCGGUCUGAGGCAUCUCUGUCCCUGCGUGCCCUGCACCCCCGGGACUCUGCCCGCUACUUCUGUGCUGUUCGCACGGAGAGAGGAAAUCCAGCCGAGCUUUAACACAAACCUGCUGGGGGCCGGCACAGGGUGCAAGAGGUGUGGGGCUGGUGAGUGCUGUAGUGUGGGUUGAGGGAGGGCUCAGGGCUGGUCCCAGGGAGUGAGGGGCCAUCACUGUUCACCGCAGGUUUUCCUGGCGUUUCCUGUGCACUGAAGGAAAUUUAAUUGAUCCCCUACUAAAAUAGAGUAGGAUUGUGAGAAGCAGAAAAAAAGCAGAUUAAAACCUAAAAACAUCUUGUCCCCACUCAUCCUCCCUUCUUCCCAGCUUCAACUUCACUCCUGACUCAUCUACCGCCUCUCUCCAUGUGGCACCGGGGCAAUGGUGUUUGGGUUCAAUUCAUAACACUUCAUCUCUACUCUUCCUUCCUCCCUCCCAUGGU